rnacentral:rRNA from 1 species
UACGUAGGGGGCAAGCGUUGUCCGGAAUCAUUGGGCGUAAAGCGCGUGUAGGCGGUCCGGUAAGUCGGCUGUGAAAGUCCAGGGCUCAACCCUGGGAUGCCGGUCGAUACUGCCGGACUAGAGUCCGGAAGAGGCGAGUGGAAUUCCCGGUGUAGCGGUGAAAUGCGCAGAUAUCGGGAGGAAUACCGGUGGCGAAGGCGGCAUCCUGGACCAUUACUGACGCUGAGGCGCGAAAGCUAGGGGAGCAAACAGGGGAU